rnacentral:rRNA from 1 species
GACGAACGCUGGCGGCGUGCUUAACACAUGCAAGUCGAACGGAAAGGCCCUGCUUUUGUGGGGUGCUCGAGUGGCGAACGGGUGAGUAACACGUGAGUAACCUGCCCUUGACUUUGGGAUAACUUCAGGAAACUGGGGCUAAUACCGGAUAGGAGCUCCUGCUGCAUGGUGGGGGUUGGAAAGUUUCGGCGGUUGGGGAUGGACUCGCGGCUUAUCAGCUUGUUGGUGGGGUAGUGGCUUACCAAGGCUUUGACGGGUAGCCGGCCUGAGAGGGUGACCGGCCACAUUGGGACUGAGAUACGGCCCAGACUCCAACGGGAGGCAGCAGUGGGGAAUAUUGCACAAUGGGCGGAAGCCUGAUGCAGCAACGCCGCGUGCGGAAUGACGGCCUUCGGGUUGUAAACCGCUUUCGCCUGUGACGAAGCGUGAGUGACGGUAAUGGGUAAAGAAGCACCGGCUAACUACGUG